AAACGGACGGAGCCGUCUGUGACCCGUCGGAAUCAGUCGAAUCGAUGCGUGAAGGCGAGUAUGACAUAAAACGGAACGAAAGUCCGGUCGUCUCGUAGUAAACAGUAGCGCUCGUUCGAUGCAUUUCCGAAGGGUAAGCACCGCGACCGAUGUCGAAGGCUAGUGAAGCCGUCGGAUUGAGGUCGAGCUCGUUUCUCGAGUCUCGUUACCAGUCCUUCGGUAUGAAUAGAAUUCGCUGGACCCUAGCAUCGAGAAUAAAAGCGAAUGUCGGUGAACUAUACACUCACCUGCUACGAUGGACGUGCGGCCGUUCGAUCGUCGCCUGCUCGCAGGUUACGGUUUGAAUCAGGUUCGUAUCCGAAGUCGUCGGUGACGUUUYGACAUUCAGGSAUCCGCGGUGKCCGAGUCGGUCACCCGUCCGACCCGUCUUGAAACACGGACCAAGGAGUCUAACGUAAGCGCGAGCUAAUGGGUGGAAAACCUAUAAGCGAAAUAAAAGUAAAAGCCGUUUCGGACGGCCGAGGUACGAUCCCGAAGAACGAAGUAUCUUCGGGCGCAGUACCAUCCCGUCCCGACCGCUUG
rnacentral:rRNA from 1 species